rnacentral:lncRNA from 1 species
AGGGAUCAACACCCAGGAUAGCAUGUAAGCCAGGCCGGGGAACAGGACAUCCUACCACCUGGGUUCCCACCUACCAUGGUUAUACAGGAUUCUCAGCAUUCCAGAGGAAGAGGUGCUUUCAACUCUGCCCAGUGAUUGGGGCAGUCGUGGUCCUGGAUCAAGAUCCUGGGGACCUGAGCCUCAGGGGGGUCAUUCUUUUGGGGGCUCAUCCGGGAUUUGCAACAACCCCUCACUUGAGUGGAGUCGAUCUUGGAGGUAAGCGGCUACCCUGUAUUGUCUUGUCUACUGUCUGUCGGUUCUGUCUAUUCUGUUUCUGUAAAAGCGCUUUCAGUUCGGAGGUAAGCGGCUACCCUGUAUUGUCUUGUCUACUGUCUGUCGGUUCUGUCUAUUCUGUUUCUGUAAAAGCGCUUUCAGUUCCGUUUUCAGUUUGCAGUUGUCCUGGCGGUCAUGAGACCUGCCUCGACUGUGAUCAGCAGACAUGCCCGGAGGAUCACAGACUGCUGCCCUGGGGACGCCCAGGAGGUACAGAGCCCCCAAGGCCACUUGGACGCUCCUCAGAUAGCGGCAAUUGUAGCCACCUGGUUCUGCCGCAGGUCCACCUGGUGCCAUUGCCUUAUAAGCCGUGCGGAUGGAUUGGGUUGGCGUGUGUUCUUUUCUGUCUAUUCUGUCUCUGUGUCUUUUUAUCGUGGGUUUUCAAUUCAGGAUCCACCAUGACACCCCCUUUCGUUGAGUCACG